GUCCCUGUAGCGCAGUGGAUAGCGCGUUGGACUUCUGAUCCAAAUUCCGUGGGUUCGAAUCCCACCAGGGAUG